rnacentral:rRNA from 1 species
GACGAACGCUGGCGGCGUGCUUAACACAUGCAAGUCGAACGGAAAGGCCCUGCUUUUGUGGGGUGCUCGAGUGGCGAACGGGUGAGUAACACGUGAGUAACCUGCCCUUGACUUUGGGAUAACUUCAGGAAACUGGGGCUAAUACCGGAUAGGAGCUCCUGCUGCAUGGUGGGGGUUGGAAAGUUUCGGCGGUUGGGGAUGGACUCGCGGCUUAUCAGCUUGUUGGUUGGGUAGUGGCUUACCAAGGCUUUGACGGGUAGCCGGCCUGAGAGGGUGACCGGCCACAUUGGGACUGAGAUACGGCCCAGACUCCUACGGGAGGCAGCAGUGGGGAAUAUUGCACAAUGGGCGGAAGCCUGAGGCAGCAACGCCGCGUGCGGGAUGACGGCCUUCGGGUUGUAAACCGCUUUCGCCUGUGACGAAGCGUGAGUGACGGUAAUGGGUAAAGAAGCACCGGCUAACUACGUG